rnacentral:rRNA from 1 species
AGUGAACGCUGGCGGUAGGCCUAACACAUGCAAGUCGAACGGCAGCACAGUAAGAGCUUGCUCUUACGGGUGGCGAGUGGCGGACGGGUGAGGAAUACAUCGGAAUCUACUUUUUCGUGGGGGAUAACGUAGGGAAACUUACGCUAAUACCGCAUACGACCUACGGGUGAAAGCAGGGGAUCUUCGGACCUUGCGCGAUUGAAUGAGCCGAUGUCGGAUUAGCUAGUUGGCGGGGUAAAGGCCCACCAAGGCGACGAUACGUAGCUGGUCUGGGAGGAUGAUCAGCCACACUGGAACUGAGACACGGUCCAGACUCCUACGGGAGGCAGCAGUGGGGAAUAUUGGACAAUGGGCGCAAGCCUGAUCCAGCCAUACCGCGUGGGUGAAGAAGGCCUUCGGGUUGUAAAGCCCUGUUGUUGGGAAAGAAAAGCAGCAGGUUAAUACCCCGCUGUUCUGACGGUACCCAAAGAAUAAGCACCGGCUAACUUCGUG